rnacentral:rRNA from 1 species
UUCAGAACGAACGCUGGCGGCAGGCUUAACACAUGCAAGUCGAGCGCACUCUUUUAGAGUGAGCGGCAAACGGGUGAGUAACGCGUGGGAAUCUACCCCUCUCUACGGAAUAACACAGAGAAAUUUGUGCUAAUACCGUAUACGUCCUAUUGGAGAAAGAUUUAUCGGAGAUGGAUGAGCCCGCGUUGGAUUAGCUAGUUGGUGAGGUAAUAGCUCACCAAGGCGACGAUCCAUAGCUGGUCUGAGAGGAUGAUCAGCCACACUGGGACUGAGACACGGCCCAGACUCCUACGGGAGGCAGCAGUGGGGAAUAUUGGACAAUGGGGGCAACCCUGAUCCAGCCAUGCCGCGUGAGUGAUGAAGGCCCUAGGGUUGUAAGCUCUUUCACCGGUGAAGAUAAUGACGA